rnacentral:lncRNA from 1 species
AUGUUUUUUUUCAGCUUCCCUGGAUGCUCAUGCUGGCCUAGUAUAGAGGAAGGAGUAAAGCUGUAAGGCAUUAAUGCAUGUAGCGUUUGAAUUGGAGAAACCACAAAGAACCAUGGCAGUCAGGUGCAGAGGAACUGUCAUUUAUUUGAUAUCAAUUCAACAUACAGAACAAUGGAUUGCAACUUAUGUGACGUCCUGAAUGCCACUAAAUCCAAAUUAUCAUCUCCACAUAAACAGGCCUGCUAGCACAAUUAUCUAUAUGUGUGAAGGAAGAAAUAGUUAGCACAAAGCAGAAGGCUGAAGAGACAAAAAUGUGUGUGCAGAAAAGAAGCACGAAAAGGUCUCCCCAGAGAUCUGGUAAGCUCCAUGGGCUAGUGAUCCUGUUGAAACCAGAAGAAUGGCUAAACUCAGAACUCCAUGUGUCAGCUGAAUCCAGGCAAGGCUACUGUUUAUCUCACAGUUCUUCCACCAACUCCACUUAUGCACUCAUGAGUAAUCUUCACCAUUUUGAGAGAAGUGCCUUCCACCAAGAAUACGGACUGUGA